rnacentral:rRNA from 1 species
AGAGUUUGAUCCUGGCUCAGGAUGAACGCUAGCUACAGGCUUAACACAUGCAAGUCGAGGGGCAGCAUGGUCUUAGCUUGCUAAGGCCGAUGGCGACCGGCGCACGGGUGAGUAACGCGUAUCCAACCUGCCUUACACUCUUGGACAGCCUUCUGAAAGGGAGAUUAAUACAAGAUGUUAUCAUGAGUAAGCAUUUUCGCAUGAUUAAAGGUUUACCGGUGUAAGAUGGGGAUGCGUUCCAUUAGAUAGUAGGCGGGGUAACGGCCCACCUAGUCUUCGAUGGAUAGGGGUUCUGAGAGGAAGGUCCCCCACAUUGGAACUGAGACACGGUCCAAACUCCUACGGGAGGCAGCAGUGAGGAAUAUUGGUCAAUGGACGAGAGUCUGAACCAGCCAAGUAGCGUGAAGGAUGAAGGUCCUACGGAUUGUAAACUUCUUUUAUAAGGGAAUAAACCCUCCCACGUGUGGGAGCUUGUAUGUACCUUAUGAAUAAGCAUCGGCUAACUCCGUGCCAGCAGCCGCGGUAAUACGGAGGAUGCGAGCGUUAUCCGGAUUUAUUGGGUUUAAAGGGAGCGCAGACGGGUCGUUAAGUCAGCUGUGAAAGUUUGGGGCUCAACCUUAAAAUUGCAGUUGAUACUGGCGUCCUUGAGUGCGGUUGAGGUGUGCGGAAUUCGUGGUGUAGCGGUGAAAUGCUUAGAUAUCACGAAGAACUCCGAUUGCGAAGGCAGCCUGCUAAGCUGCAACUGACAUUGAGGCUCGAAAGUGUGGGUAUCAAACAGGAUUAGAUACCCUGGUAGUCCACACCGUAAACGAUGAAUUCUAGGUGUCGGGGGCCGGUAUGGGCUUCGGGUGCCGUCGCAAACGCAGUAAGUAUUCCACCUGGGGAGUACGUUCGCAAGAAUGAAACUCAAAAGGAAUUGACGGGGGACCCGCACAAGCGGUGGAGCAUGUGGUUUAAUUCGAAGCAACGCGAAGAACCUUACCAGGUCUUGACAUCCUUCUGACCACUCCGUAAUGGGAGUCUUCCUUUGGGACAGAAGAGACAGGUGGUGCAUGGUUGUCGUCAGCUCGUGUCGUGAGAUGUUGGGUUAAGUCCCGCAACGAGCGCAACCCCUAUCUUCAGUAGCCAGCAGGUAAGGCUGGGCACUCUGGAGAGACUGCCAGGGAUAACCUGGAGGAAGGUGGGGACGACGUCAAAUCAUCAUGCCCCUUAUGAUCUGGGCGACACACGUGCUACAAUGGCGGUCACAAAGUGAGGCGAACCCGCGGGGGGGAGCAAACCACAAAAAGGCCGUCCCAGUUCGGACUGUAGUCUGCAACCCGACUACACGAAGCUGGAAUCGCUAGUAAUCGCGAAUCAGAAUGUCGCGGUGAAUACGUACCCGGGUCUUGUACACACCGCCCGUCAAG